rnacentral:rRNA from 1 species
UACGAAGGGUGCAAACGUUGCUCGGAAUCAUUGGGCGUAAAGCGCACGUAGGCGGCCUCAUAAGUCGGAUGUGAAAUCCCUCGGCUCAACCGAGGAAGUGCAUUCGAAACUGCGAGGCUCGAGUAUGGAAGAGGGUCGCAGAAUUCCCGGUGUAGAGGUGAAAUUCGUAGAUAUCGGGAGGAAUACCAGUGGCGAAGGCGGCGACCUGGGCCAAUACUGACGCUGAGGUGCGAAAGCGUGGGGAGCAAACAGG